ensembl:snRNA U6 U6 spliceosomal RNA
AUGCUUGCUUUGGCAGCACAUAUACUAAAAUUGGAACGAUAGAGUGAAGAUUGGCAUGGCCCCUGCACAAUGGGUGACCUGCAAGUUCAUGAAGCGUUCCAUAUUUUU